ACAUUCUGGCAGGAAGGUGGAGGAAGUCAGGCUUCAAUGACUCAGCGAGCCCAGAUGCUUACACCUCUGCCAGAUUUGUGUCACACUGCCUGCCACUUAUCAGACUCAGAAUAAUGAAAACCCUCUUGUUGGCAGGCGUAGUAGUUACGAGAGAACAGGAAUGUGCAUGGAGAUCUAGCCAUGGGAAUGCAAAGCCGCUCGUUUACCACGGGCUGGAAUCCGUUCUGAGUGGGCAAGGUGGGCGGUCCUCCAAGCACAGAAAUGAUCUCCAGACCCUCCCGGACACGUAAGAAAUGCCACUUCUGUGACCCCGGAGUUUCCUUCUCCUGCAUCCACGCUUUUUCUAGGUGUGCCUUUCAGUAGAGUUUGUGACUGUCACCCUCAAGCUCACAACGGCCUCCCAGAUGAAAGGCGGAACCCGGCCUGCCUCUCGGUGUCCUCCGGGGCUCACCCUGGCGCUCAGGAGAUUGAGACCCCUGUUCUAGGCCAGCUGCUUCCCAGGUGCCGUCAUUCAUUCCGAGGGUCCCCCCCACCAACGCUGGCCAGGGCAGCUGGAGCGCAGGGCACUCCGUGCGCCCUCUUCUCAUCCAGGCGGGUCUGGCCGGUGUGGACGCCCGCCCAGGACUCCGUCCGAGCCCAGCGGCUCUGGG